rnacentral:rRNA from 1 species
CGUGUAGGUGGUUCGGAAAGUCGGAUGUGAAAGUCCGGAGCUCAACUCCGGAAGUGCAUCCGAUACUCUCGAGCUCGAGUCUCGGAGAGGAAGGCAGAAUUCCCAAUGUAGGGGUGAAAUCCGUAGAUAUUGGGAGGAAUACCGGUGGCGAAGGCGGCCUUCUGGACGAUGACUGACACUGAGACGCGAAAGCGUGGGGAGCAAACA